GUUUUGAGUCAACGCCGAUAUUUUCCGAUUCCGGCAGUCUCCGGCCACCAAACUGGCGUCGAAGGGCGAUGUACCAAGCUCUGGCUCGAUGAAGGAACUCGUAUACGUGAUCGUCGGAAUAGUACUUUUGCAGGCAAAAUUAGUUGAGGUCGGGCGUACAUGGAGUUGAGGCAUAGUCAACUGCACGGCUUCCACGUUUGCCUUUGAAUUAGGUUUUCCCUUAUUUACCUUUCUAUUAGAAUUGCUCUGAUUACCUGUGGGAUUAAUGUU
rnacentral:lncRNA from 1 species